rnacentral:lncRNA from 1 species
CGGUUCUCUCAACCAGUCUCUCUUUCUCUGUUAUUCAGUCAGUCUCUCACAGUCGUUGUCUUUGUGCCGUUAACAAAGUAUCUCGAUUCAACAUGCGUUCCGUUUAUCGUUCAUCGUACAACGUUUCUUUACAAAUAUUACAUGGAAUCGCUAUAAUACGUAUUUUAUUUCAAAUAUAUUGUUAAUAUUUUUCUCAAAUUUCGUAUAUCGUUUUACAAGUGACGUGCACGAUCAAUUAGGACAACAUUUUUGGCUACAUUUUUAUUCCGUUCUUUUUUUUUUGAUUCUAGCAAAUUUUUAUUAAACAACGCAAUACGUACUUUUUAUCUAUUUAACAUUUUUGAUAUCAACAAAUUGUUUUUUUGAAGUGCAAUCGAUUACAAAUCAAACACGAUUGACAAGAUGUAAUAGGUUUUCGAUUAUAUGUAAUUUUCAAAUAAUAGUAUCGUGUAAUAAGUAUUUUAUCAAAUUACAUGAUCGUCAGUUGCUAUCGACGCAAAACAAAAAAAUAUCCAAAAAUUGAUAUUAUGAGUUUUCGUGUAAGGUUACAUCUAAUCUUCGAACAGUAGCGCAACACGGUGAACAAAAGACGAUUAAAAAAAAAAAAAACGUGGGUAUAAUCGAAUGUAUCGCGAGAAGAUAAUCAGUAGAGUUAUAAAAUUCCUCAUCGGCAUAUCGAGGAACAAAACCACACAUCCGGGGGAAUCAAAGAUUAUUCGUAACGUUUCGUAAAAUAUCGAUCAGUGUAUCAUAGCAAAACAAAAA